CCAGAGGAGUCAGAUAUAAUCAGAUGUUCUGUUUCCAUUUACAGAGCCCUGGAAAUGUUUGAGGCCGGUUGUCAUAAGUCACGGUUCCAGCCAGUGCUGUGCUGAGCCAUGUUGCAAAAGGAAGGCUGUGUACUACAUACUACAUAACUGGAUACAUGGUUUUAUGUAUUUUUUAAAAUGGUUACUGGAGGCUCACACCUGUAAUCCCAGCACUUUGGGAGGCUGAGAGGCAGGAGCUCACCAAGUUUUCUAGGCUAGUGUCAAACUCCUGGCCUUGUUACCAGCAGCAAAUCCUACAGGUCUGCAGCAACCUCAAUUCUCACCUCCUCAGAAGAAAUAAUUCGACUGAGAUGCAGAAGUCAGGAGACACUGAGGGAGAUAAAUUAGAAAACUGCAGUGAGGGGGAAGAGGAUUCAAGAUGGAGCCAUAAGAACAACUCAGGAUUGCAGCUCUCAGUGAACGUGCAGAGGGUGAGUGGAGAAAAGAAUAAAGAAACCCAUAUUUCUUGAACUUCUCUGGCAACUAGCAGUGGUACCAAAUACAGUCUUUAGAAUUUCCAGAGUCUC
rnacentral:lncRNA from 1 species